UCCUCGGUGGCGCAAUUGGCUAGCGCGUCGUAAGUUAUCCAACAUGGUAUAGACUAUUACGAUAUAGUGUCUAACAAUACUCUAACUAGUGACUGUUAAUCAGGAGGUUGAAAGUUCGAGCCUUUCCCGGGGAG